GGCUUUCAGCUGGCUGUAGAGGCUUUCAGCUGGCCGUAGAGGCUUUCAGCUGGCCGUAGAGGCUUUCAGCUGGCCGUAGAGGCUUUCAGCUGGCCGUAGUGGCUUUCGGCUGGCUGUAGAGGCUUUCAGCUGGCUGUAGAGGCUUUCAGCUGGCCGUAGAGGCUUUCAGCUGGCCGUAGAGGCUUUCAGCUGGCCGUAGAGGCUUUCAGCUGGCCGUAGAGGCUUUCAGCUGGCCGUAGAGGCUUUCAGCUGGCCGUAGAGGCUUUCAGCUGGCCGUAGAGGCUUUCAGCUGGCCAUAGUGGCUUUCAGCUGGCUGUAGAGGCUUUCAGCUGGCUGUAGAGGCUUUCAGCUGGCCGUAGUGGCUUUCAGCUGGCUGUAGAGGCUUUCAGCUGGCCGUAGAGGCUUUCAGCUGGCCAUAGAGGCUUUCAGCUGGCUGUUAGAGGCUUUCAGCUGGCUGUAGAGGCUUUCGGCUGGCCGUAGAGGCUUUCAGCUGGCCGUAGAGGCUUUCAGCUGGCCGUAGAGGCUUUCAGCUGGCCGUAGAGGCUUUCAGCUGGCCGUAGAGGCUUUCAGCUGGCCGUAGAGGCUUUCGGCUGGCUUUCAGCUGGCCGUAGAGGCUUUCAGCUGGCCGUAGAGGCUUUCAGCUGGCCGUAGAGGCUUUCAGCUGGCCGUAGAGGCUUUCAGCUGGCCAUAGAGGCUUUCAGCUGGCCGUAGAGGCUUUCAGCUGGCUGUAGAGGCUUUCAGCUGCUGUUAGAGGCUUUCCUGCUAAGAUGUGUGUGUGACACCUGCUCUUGAUAAUAUGGAUGAUGCAAGAGAAACAAAACCCACACAUGCCAACUUGCCUUUGGCUUGACAGACUCAAAAGAGGCACUUGAAGACUGUAUGUUUUGAUUGGCUGGUUUUCAGACCUUUAAUGAUACAAAAAAAAUUGAUUGUGCACUUAAUUGAAAGUAUUCUUUUGAACAGGUUUCCAUGUUGGGAAAGUUCUACAUCAGU
rnacentral:lncRNA from 1 species